ACUCUAUUCUGAAUUUGUGAAAUGACUUGAGAAGUUUAGAAUAAGUGGGAGUCAUUUUUGGCGCAAGUGAAUUACCACUACUUUUGAUGUUAUUUUACUUAUUUUGUGGGGCGGAGACGGGGCAUCCCCCCUAUUUUUGGCCUUAAGACACAUUUUGGUGGGUUGAUCUAGGUGGAAGACAUUGUCACCCGGGGAGU
rfam:Picea glauca, whole genome shotgun sequence.